GAUGAACGCUGGCGGCGUGCCUAAUACAUGCAAGUCGAGCGAACAGACGAGGAGCUUGCUCCUCUGACGUUAGCGGCGGACGGGUGAGUAACACGUGGAUAACCUACCUAUAAGACUGGGAUAACUUCGGGAAACCGGAGCUAAUACCGGAUAAUAUAUUGAACCGCAUGGUUCAAUAGUGAAAGACGGCUUUUCUGUCACUUAUAGAUGGAUCCGCGCCGCAUUAGCUAGUUGGUAAGGUAACGGCUUACCAAGGCAACGAUGCGUAGCCGACCUGAGAGGGUGAUAGGCCACACGGGAGCGGAGACACGGUCCAGACGCCUGCGGGACGCAGCAGUAGGGAAUGUUACGCAAUGGGGGAAAGCCUGACGGAGCAACGCCGCGUGAGUGAUGAAGGUGUUCGGAUCGUAAAGCUCUGUUAUGAGGGAAGAACAAAUGUGUAAGUAACUAUGCACGUCUUGACGGUACCUGAUCAGAAAGCCACGGCUAACUACGUG
rnacentral:rRNA from 1 species